rnacentral:rRNA from 1 species
CCUACGGGAGGCAGCAGUGAGGAAUAUUGGUCAAUGGGCGCGAGCCUGAACCAGCCAAGUAGCGUGAAGGAUGACUGCCCUACGGGUUGUAAACUUCUUUUAUAAGGGAAUAAAGUGAGGCACGUGUGCCUUUUUGUAUGUCCUUUAUGAAUAAAGAUCGGCUAACUCCGUGCCAGCAGCCGCGGUAAUACGGAGGUUCCGAGCGUUAUCCGGAGUUAGUGGGUUGAAAGGGAGCGUAGAUGGGUUGUUAAGUCAGUUGUGAAAGUUUGCGGCUCAACCGUAAAAUUGCAAUUGAUACUGGCAGUCUUGAGUACAGUUGAGGUAGGCGGAAUUCGUGGUGUAGCGGUGAAAUGCUUAGAUAUUACGAAGAACUCCGAUUGCGAAGGCAGCUUACUAAACUGCCACUGACAUUGAUGCUCGAAAGUGUGGGUAUCAAACAGGAUUAGAUACCCCAGUAGUC